UACGUAGGGGGCAAGCGUUGUCCGGAAUCAUUGGGCGUAAAGGGCGCGUAGGCGGAUAUUUAAGUCUGGUGUGAAAGACCGUUGCUCAACAACGGGGUUGCAUCGGAAACUGGGUAUCUUGAGGACAGGAGAGGAAAGUGGAAUUCCACGUGUAGCGGUGAAAUGCGUAGAUAUGUGGAGGAACACCAGUGGCGAAGGCGACUUUCUGGACUGUAACUGACGCUGAGGCGCGAAAGCGUGGGGAGCAAACAGG
rnacentral:rRNA from 1 species